rnacentral:rRNA from 1 species
UACGUAGGGUGCGAGCGUUGUCCGGAAUUAUUGGGCGUAAAGGGCUCGUAGGCGGUUUGUCGCGUCUGCCGUGAAAGUCCGGGGGCUCAACUCCGGAUCUGCGGUGGGUACGGGGCAGACUAGAGUGAUGUAGGGGGAGACUGGAAUUCCUGGUGUAGCGGUGAAAUGCGCAGAUAUCAGGAGGAACACCGAUGGCGAAGGCAGGUCUCUGGGCAUUAACUGACGCUGAGGAGCGAAAAGCAUGGGGAGCGAACAGG